GACGAACGCUGGCGGCGUGCUUAACACAUGCAAGUCGAACGGUGAAGCGCCUUCCUUUUUGGUGGGUGUGGAUGAGUGGCGAACGGGUGAGUAACACGUGAGUAACCUGCCCCCUUCUUCUGGAUAACCGCAUGAAAGUGUGGCUAAUACGGGAUAUUCUGGGUCUGUCGCAUGAUGGGUCUGGGAAAGAUAUUGUUUCGGUGGGGGAUGGGCUCGCGGCCUAUCAGCUUGUUGGUGGGGUGAUGGCCUACCAAGGCGGUGAGGGGUAGCCGGCCUGGGAGGAUGGGCGGCCACAGUGGGAAGGAGACGCCGCGACGACUCCUACAGGCGGCAGCAGGGGAGAGUAUGGAACGGUGGGCGGAAGCCUGAAGCAGCGACGCGGCGGGGGUGAUGGAGGCCUUCGGGUUGUGAACCUCUUUCGCGAGUGAAGCAGGCCUGCAUCGUUUGUGGGUGGGUUGACGGUAGCUGGAUAGGAAGCGCCGGCUAACUACGUG
rnacentral:rRNA from 1 species